UCCUUUGGUCUCAGUGAACUCAGAGGUGGAGAAAGUCAUAAGAAUCAGGGAGCCUGCCCCAAAUUGCCUCCUAUGAUAACUUUCCACAAAGACUGGAGGGGAGGCUUCAAACAUCUUCCUGCAGUGUCCAGCAAGACAGCGAGGCAGACUCCCUUUCUCCUGCCAAAGCCACGUGGAGCCAGACAGAACCACAAGCAUACCUGUGGUGCUUGGAGGCCCAAGUAGAAACUUGAAUGCUCACGGCUGCAUUGGCAGCUUCUACUUGCCUGCCUGGAUCACCGUUCCUCAUGAGAACUUGGAAAAGCAGGACUAUCAUUCUUGCUUGACAGACGAAGAAACCAAGCCUCAGGACUGCGUGCAAUUCUACUUGGAGAUCUUCAUAACACCUUAAGGGAAAAAUCCUUUUUGAAAGAAAAACAAGUCUGGGUGGUGCUUGAAAAUUCAGAAGGCAGCUAGAAACUCUGCCAAUUACAACUGGUGAUUGCUGAGUUCUGGAGACAGACUGGGCUUCUGCUUUCUUUUGGUGGAGGUGUCUGCUUGCAGAAAAUUUAUGUUCUGGGAUUUACAACUUCAGGGAGACAAAGGAAACUCCAGCUCAUCUCCCACAUCAUUGAUUGAGAGGACCAUUUUCUGACUGUCUGCACACGGAUGGGCAUUUGAAUUAUUUCCAGUUUUUGGCUAUUAUGAAAAAAACUGCUAUGAACAUUCAUACACAAGUGUGUGUGUGGACCCAUGUUUUCACUGAUCAAGGCCUAAAUACCUACGUGGUGCUUCGUGAACCCUGGAUGCUACAGUCUCUGGCCACAGCACUAAAUGUAUGCUGAGAUCUGGCUUCACGGUCGAGGGUGUUGCUGGUUUUCAAUGUGCCUGACAUAGGAUCAAUGGUGAAUGCACCAGAAGCCUCAUCAGUCAGAAAAUACUCAGUUUGCCCAUUCAGGCCUUCAUCCUUGUCCACAGCUGAAAGCACAAGAACCACUGUUCCCACUUCAGCAUCUUCUCUCACAGAGGACUGGUAAUAAAGUGUGGGAAAAGAAGGACUGUGGUCAUUGGCAUCCAAAACUCUAACUUGCAGGUGUAUUACAGAGCUCCUAGGUGGAUCUCCCAGGUCAGAGCACAGAAUGACAAGGGUAAAAUUGCUGAUUUGCUCCCGGUCCAAAGCACGAGUGGUUGAGAGUUCUCCUGACAUCUCAUUUAUAGUAAAGCACUCAUCAGUAUUUCCAUCUAUUAAAGAAAACAAUUACAAAUUCAUUUGAAUUGAAAAAGUAGCAGCUCUUUGCUAGCACUAUCUAUGGUAUUCAUUUAUACAUUCAUUAAAAAUAUAUUUAUUCCCGAUUAUAUUGUAUCCUAGCACUUUUGUAAAUAUUGGGGAUAUAACAGUAAGCAUGAUAAAGGCUCUGCCCUCAUGAAACUUCUAUUGAGGGGAUAAACAGAAUAAUAUGAUUCAAUGCCUAUCUUUAAUCAGUCAAUAAUUAGAACACUUGCUUUCACUAAUUUGCAGCCGUAUGAUUUUUUGUGUGCAUCUACAACUUUUAAUUUUAAUAUAUUUUUCCUCAUAAGAGGAUGAAGAUAUAUGUUUUAUUUAACACAAAACAAUAGAUGAGGAUAAAAAAAACAGAAUAUAAUGUCCUUUUUUAAGAUAUCAAUCAGAAAUGAACAGAUUUGAUUUGUAGUUAUUUUCUCAAAUAGUACCCACUACAGUAUUCAUGCCUGUUAUACUAUUGCAGUAAGCCUUCUCUUCUACAUGUCCACAGCAUUUUGUACAAGAAUCAUAACACUUUGGUUAGAGUUAGUUGGACACUUGACUAUUUCUUCCAAAACAUAAAUAAGGACAUUGUUCUAUUCAUCUAUUCCUUAAAAAAAAUCUGCCCUUUAUUAUAUUCCAUCGUAUCAAGUAGAAUAAAACUUAAAAUUGAACACAGGGACAAAAAGCUUUCAAAGACAUUUUUAAAUAACCCUGAAAAUUAGUGAAGAAAAAUGUGGUUCAUAUGCUUGCCAGCCAUAUUCUUGGAUGAAGAGCAGGCCCAAUAGUGUGGGAACUUACUAGAGUCUGCAUAUCAGAGGCAUAUGAGGACCAAGUGGAAUGGCAUUCAAAGGAAACAACAGCAAUAGGUAGCUUUAGGGAGGAGGAGAGGGCCCUGCAUUUGUAUUCAUGAGGAACAGUUAAUUUACACCAAAAGUAGAGAUGAUUGGACAAACCCACAUUUCUGUAGUAUUUGUGGCUGAUAAAGUGAUUCAGUCAUUCAGCAAACAUUUGAUGAGCAUCUACUAUGUGCCAAGUUUGUGCUCAAGAUCACAGAUAUGAAGGGAGUAAGACAUGACCUAGCUCCAAGAGUUCACAGUCUAAAAGGAAAGGCUGGUCAAUACUCGGGUAUUAAAGUACCAUGUGAAAAUCAUAUGUACAGAGUGCUAAAUGAGUACAUAUAGAUAGUGCUAGCCAAGGGGUGCUAUUUCUCUGAGAAGUACAGAGAAAGGGCACAUAGUCCUAUGUUAGUAAGUUCAAGAAAUGCUUAUUGGAAAAAGUGACAUCAAAUCUCACUCCUAAAGUGGAGAAAGCCAUACUACAAGUUUUGGGGAGAGUGUUCUAUGCAGAGGAAAGAGCCCGUGGGAAGUUCUAGGAAUAUAAGAAUUAACAGGCUGCAAAUGUUUGGGUGUGACUAGUACACAGGGUUCCUGGGUGUUUGUAUGUGGCAAGUAGGAAAAGGGCUGGCAGUAGCGGUAGAGGAAAGACAUGAAUUUGGGAGGUAAGCAGGGGGUCAAAUUGUGAAGGGCUCUCUGUAUACUGCUGAAGAUUCUAUAGUUUCUCCUGAAAUCCAUGAGGGAGCCCCCUGAAGGAUUUUGGACAGGAAAGUGUCAUGAAUCAAAUUUCUAUUUUAAGAAUAGUAUCGAGGCAGCAAUGUCAAAGUUUGUUUAGAAAAUAGGAUGGUUCCUGUAAUCCCAGAACUUUUGGAGACCAAGGCGGGAGGAUUGCUUGAGUCCAGGAAUUUGAGUCCAGCCUGGGCAACAUAGUGAGAC
rnacentral:lncRNA from 1 species